GGGGGCAGCACGCGCCGGCCGCCGUCCCACGUGGCGCCCGCGCCCGAGCGAGGCCCAGGGCCUGGCGGUGGCCUGCGCGCGCUCAGGGCGUUUGGGCCGGCUGGUGAGCGGGGAGGGGUCGCGUCGACCGAGGAAUCUGAAAAAUGCAGUAGAGUGCCUCGCUUGGACCAGAUGCUGGAGCCAGCAUGGGGAUGACCUGAAGCCUGCCCUUGAGGAGGUUUUAGAAUUUGUAUACUUGAUGUGCAGAAAAUUUGGCCAUGGAACCGUGAUUCUUGGAUCAUACCUUCAGUGGGAGAAAAGCAAAUGUCAUGCUUCAUAACCUGUUUAAUUUUCUUAAUUGAAUUUAGCUCAAAUCCAGUGAAUUUCAAUCCUUUGAGGGCGUAACUUUCGUAUUUGUGUAUUCUGUAAACAAAGAAUUGAUUGAAUGUAGUUCUUAAAAAGCUUUUAUGCUUAUUAGACUAUACUGACUCUAGAAGGAAACAAUUUGUUGUCCCGCUAUUCAUUAUUUAAAUAAAAUUGCUAGUAAGGAUAGAAAUUUUUAUUGGCACAUUUUGUCACUAAAAU
ensembl:lncRNA